GAAGUAGCUGUGUUUUUACUCUAUUCUAGUAAUCGGACUUUUUCUCCAUAAAAUGACAUGUUCCACCCAGGAAUCCAUUUUGAUGGAUUUUUUCUAAAAUUCAUUUUCACAACUGAUACACAAGUAAUGAAAAUAUAUUUAAAUGUUUGCCUUUUUCCACCGUCUCAUUCAUUCAAUGUAAAAGCAGAUUAGAUCAAUCCCAUUACCUAUCAACCCAGUCAGCCUCUGACCAUAUGGUCCAGGAAUCCUUCACUUUGACACACUAAUUGUUAUGUUAACCUUACACUUCUCUCCUCAUCCAUACAACAAACAUCCUGAUGUCUGCAGACCUUUUGGAGCCACAGCAGGUUUUCUGAUCCUGACCUUGGACCAGGAGGGGCUGCGUGCUGAUUACCACAUAGGUUAGGAAAUCUUGACCUGUCCGUUGCUCCGCAUUUGGCUCAAAGGGAUUGGAAUGCGUUUGUAUCCAGCAACCAUCCAUUAUCUGAAAUGAAGACUGUGGCAUAACUGUAAACGUGAAUGGACAUGGCCAUCCAUCUGAACAUGCGGGUCAGGCAAGAAGAGCAUUAAUCAGAAAAGAAGUCGAGAGGUUCAUCUAACUCUGGAGGAGCUGCAGAUAUUCACAGCUCAGGUGAAACAGGGAGUGGUGGCCUAGUGGUUAGAACAGGAGGUUUGCGUUCUGGAAA